GAUUAUUUUUAUCUAUUUGUACUAUUAAAAACGUGCAUGAUUAACGAAAUAACUAUACAAUGACACGUAUGCCUUAUGUUGAUAUGCAAUAACCGAUUUUUAAUAGUAAAAAUGGGUGAAAUUUUUAACA
rfam:Gossypium raimondii Chr13_contig_1355, whole genome shotgun sequence.